UACGGAGGGUGCAAGCGUUGUUCGGAUUUAUUGGGCGUAAAGCGCGUGUAGGCGGUUUCUUAAGUCUGAUGUGAAAGCCCUGGGCUCAACCCAGGAAGUGCAUUGGAUACUGGGAGACUUGAAUACGGGAGAGGGUAGUGGAAUUCCCGGUGUAGUGGUGAAAUGCGUAGAUAUCGGGAGGAACACCAGUGGCGAAGGCGACUACCUGGCCUGUUCUUGACGCUGAGGCGCGAAAGCUAGGGGAGCGAACGGG
rnacentral:rRNA from 1 species